AGCGAACGCUGGCGGCAGGCCUAACACAUGCAAGUCGAACGAACUCUUCGGAGUUAGUGGCGGACGGGUGAGUAACACGUGGGAACGUGCCUUUUGGUUCGGAAUAACUCAGGGAAACUUGUGCUAAUACCGAAUGUGCCCUUCGGGGGAAAGAUUUAUCGCCAUUAGAGCGGCCCGCGUCUGAUUAGCUAGUUGGUGAGGUAACGGCUCACCACGGCGACGAUCAGUAGCUGGUCUGAGAGGAUGACCAGCCACACUGGGACUGAGACACGGCACAGACUCCUACGGGAGGCAGCAGUGGGGAAUCUUGCGCAAUGGGCGAAAGCCUGACGCAGCCAUGCCGCGUGAAUGAUGAAGGUCUUAGGAUUGUAAAAUUCUUUCACCGGGGACGAUAAUGACGGUACCCGGAGAAGAAGCCCCGGCUAACUUCGUG
rnacentral:rRNA from 1 species